UCAUUCCUAACACCUUACUAAUGACUUGGACUGUCAACUAGUAUUCUAUUUUUCAAUACAAAAUGGACCGUUCUGGGACAAUUGCUUUUUAUCUGUAGGCGAAUAGGCCCAGCAAUGACUUCCACUAUCAGUGUAUCUCAACAGGUUCACAAUGUGAUUAUGUACAUUUUAUCAAUUAUCAUGUGGUUUUUGGUGACACACUUCCGUGUUCUUGACUGACAUGUCUUUCUUACCACCCGUCACAGCCUCAUCAUGGAGGCUCUAUGUAUAAGAGUGACAGAUCUAAACCUGAUGCACUACCUUGUCAGGGAACAUUAUGACAAGGGUGAACCUUAACAUGUGUUAUCUUUAUAAACAAGACCGGUCACAUUCUUAGACACCUACUACUACGGAGUCUUAAUAAGUCAGUCAACUAAGUUACAACGAGUGUCAGUUGCCUCCAUUUCAGAGGAUUUUGGACUAGACUAGAACACAGGGUGUCAGUUUGUAUGUUAGUAAUGGAUGAUUUCAGUUUGACAACCCAUUCUGAAGACUGCUGAAAAGCUACUGUCAUGAUGAGGAGCACUGCACUGUUGUGUCUCCUGUCCGUCUCAGGACUGUGUUGCCUGACUCAGUAUCUCCCCUCCUCAGUAUCACUAUGUUAGCCUUCAAAUGAAUUAUAGCCAAGCCCAGACUUAUUGUAGAGACAUGUACACUGACUUGGCAACCAUCUACAACUCAGGGGAUCUGGAUAGACUUGUACAAUUGGUACCGAAUUGGACAGCCAGUGUCUGGAUAGGACUGGAGUUUGGAGAUGAAUUUGAGUGGCACUGGUCAUUGCCAGAUCAGAGAAAGAUUGAGUUUUUCAACUGGAGGGCAGCAGAGCCGAAGCAAAACAAUACUCAAGAUAGCUGUGCUGCAAUGGAUCCAAACGGACAGUGGUUUGAGGAUAACUGCCAAAUUAAAAGAGGUUUUGUUUGCUUUGAUGGGGAAAAACGCUAGUAACAGUCACAUCUUCAUUGAUGACAGCAAGACUUGGAGAGAGGCUCAAGACCACUGCCGGGGUACGUACACAGACCUGGUCAGCAUACGGUCCAGAGAGGAAAACCAUCACAUCCAGAACAUGUCACUGUCCCAGAGCAUGUGGAUUGGUCUCUUCAAAGACCCAUGGAAGUGGUCAGAUGGGAGCAACUCCUCAUACCGCUUCUGGAAGACCAAUCAGCCAACUACAUUCAAUACCACAGUAAAUGUUACUAAACAGUUAACUA